CCUACGGGGGGCUGCAGUGGGGAAUAUUGCGCAAUGGGCGAAAGCCUGACGCAGCAACGCCGCGUGAGCGAUGAAGGCCUUCGGGUUGUAAAGCUCUUUCGGUUGGGAAGAAGGGCGUACGUAAUAAAACGGCGUACGUUUGAUGGUACCAAAAGAAGAAGCACCGGCUAACUUCGUGCCAGCAGCCGCGGUAAUACGAAGGGUGCGAGCGUUGUUCGGAAUUACUGGGCGUAAAGGGUUCGUAGGCGGGACCUUAAGUCAAGUGUGAAAUCCCC
rnacentral:rRNA from 1 species